rnacentral:rRNA from 1 species
UUCCGGUUGAUCCUGCCGGAGGCUACCGCUAUUGGAGUUCGAUUAAGCCAUGCGAGUCGCGAGAAAUUAGAUUCUCGGCGUACCGCUCAGUAACACGUGGGUAACCUGCCCUAUGCUGGAUAAUAACCUCGGGAAACUGAGUAUAAUGAUCCAUAGUUCACUACGCCUGGAACGGUGAGUGGAUGAAAGCUCCGGCGGCAUAGGAUGGGCCUGCGGCGUAUCAGGUUGUAGGGGGUGUAACGUACCCUCUAGCCCUCUACGCGUACGGGUGUUGGGAGACAUAGCCCGGAGAUGGAUUCUGAGACACGAAUCCAGACCCUACGGGGUGCAGCAGGCGCGAAAACUUGGCAAUGCGAGAAAUCGUGACCAGGGAACUCCAAGUGCAUCGGGUAAGACCGGUGCUUUUCUUGACUCUAAAUAGGUCUUGGAAUAAGGGGUGGGUAAGGACGGUGCCAGCCGCCGCGGUAAUACCGGCGCCUCAAGUGGUAGUCGCUUUUAUUGGGCCUAAAACGUCCGUAGCCGGUCUGAUACAUUCGUGGGUAAAUCAACCAGCUCAACUGGUUGAAUUCUGCGAGGACGGUCAGACUUGGGACCGGGAGAGGUGUGGGGUACGCUCAGGGUAGGGGUAAAAUCCUGUCAUCCUGAGCGGGACCACCUGUUGCGAAGGCGCC